rnacentral:rRNA from 2 species
GAACUGAAGAGUUUGAUCAUGGCUCAGAUUGAACGCUGGCGGCAGGCCUAACACAUGCAAGUCGAGCGGAUGAGUGGAGCUUGCUCCAUGAUUCAGCGGCGGACGGGUGAGUAAUGCCUAGGAAUCUGCCUGGUAGUGGGGGACAACGUUUCGAAAGGAACGCUAAUACCGCAUACGUCCUACGGGAGAAAGCAGGGGACCUUCGGGCCUUGCGCUAUCAGAUGAGCCUAGGUCGGAUUAGCUAGUUGGUGAGGUAAAGGCUCACCAAGGCGACGAUCCGUAACUGGUCUGAGAGGAUGAUCAGUCACACUGGAACUGAGACACGGUCCAGACUCCUACGGGAGGCAGCAGUGGGGAAUAUUGGACAAUGGGCGAAAGCCUGAUCCAGCCAUGCCGCGUGUGUGAAGAAGGUCUUCGGAUUGUAAAGCACUUUAAGUUGGGAGGAAGGGCAGUAAGUUAAUACCUUGCUGUUUUGACGUUACCGACAGAAUAAGCACCGGCUAACUUCGUGCCAGCAGCCGCGGUAAUACGAAGGGUGCAAGCGUUAAUCGGAAUUACUGGGCGUAAAGCGCGCGUA